UCGAGGAUCUUCGGCAAUGAGCGAAAGCUUGACCGAGCGACGCCGCGUGCGGGAUGAAGGCCUUCGGGUUGUAAACCGCUUUCGUAGGGGAGGAAAUUUCGGUGGGAUCACUCAUCGAUUUGACCUAGCCUAGGAAGAAGGACGGGCUAAGUUCGUGCCAGCAGCCGCGGUAAUACGAACCGUCCAAACGUUAUUCGGAAUUACUGGGCUUAAAGGGUGCGUAGGCGGCCCGGGAAGUUGGGUGUGAAAGCCCUCGGCUCAACCGAGGAACUGCGCCCAAAACUGCCGGGCUCGAGGGAGAUAGAGGUGAGCGGAACUUAGGGUGGAGCGGUGAAAUGCGUUGAUAUCCUAAGGAACACCGGUGGCGAAAGCGGCUCACUGGGUCUCUUCUGACGCUGAGGCACGAAAGCUAGGGUAGCGAACGG
rnacentral:rRNA from 2 species